GAUGAACGCUGGUGGCGUGCCUAAUACAUGCAAGUCGAGCGAACAGAUAAGGAGCUUGCUCCUUUGACGUUAGCGGCGGACGGGUGAGUAACACGUGGGUAACCUACCUAUAAGACUGGAAUAACUCCGGGAAACCGGGGCUAAUGCAGGAUAACAUGUUGAACCGCAUGGUUCUACAGUGAAAGGCGGCUUUGCUGUCACUUAUAGAUGGACCCGCGCCGUAUUAGCUAGUUGGUGAGGUAACGGCUCACCAAGGCAACGAUACGUAGCCGACCUGAGAGGGUGAUCGGCCACACUGGAACUGAGACACGGUCCAGACUCCUACGGGAGGCAGCAGUAGGGAAUCUUCCGCAAUGGGCGAAAGCCUGACGGAGCAACGCCGCGUGAGUGAUGAAGGUCUUCGGAUCGUAAAACUCUGUUAUUAGGGAAGAACAAAUGCGUAAGUAACUGUGCGCAUCUUGACGGUACCUAAUCAGAAAGCCACGGCUAACUACGUG
rnacentral:rRNA from 1 species